rnacentral:rRNA from 1 species
AUUGAACGCUGGCGGCAUGCUUUACACAUGCAAGUCGAACGGUAACAGGUCUUUCGGGAUGCUGACGAGUGGCGAACGGGUGAGUAAUGUAUCGGAACGUGCCCAGUAGUGGGGAGUAACUACUCGAAAGAGUGGCUAAUACCGCAUGAGAUCUCUGGGUGGAAAGACGGGGGACCGGUAAGGCCUCGCGCGAUUGGAGCGGCCGAUGUCUGAUUAGCUAGUUGGUGGGGUAAAGGGACCCACCAAGGCGACGAUCAGUAGCGGGUCGUGAGAGGAUGAUCCGCCACACUGGGACGUGAGACACGGCCCA